AUACAAUUCCCUCACUUUUCUCUCUCUUAUGCACUCUCUCUCUUCCUUCCCUUUCCACCUUGUAAAUCGGCAGAUGGUUCCGUUUGACACACACACAGCGACGUAGUCAUCUCCUUCCGGCGACCGACGCAGCACAUUCAUCUUCGUCCCUCGCUCCUUGUCUCAGCCUCUCUUUUGCUGCUCAACACACACACUCCGGUUUCCUUCCCUCUCUGAGUCGCUGCUGCCCGGCAGAUUCCGGCGUGUCACCGCCGUUUUUCUGACUGCUCUAGGCCAGACUCAUUACUCCUUAAACCCUGCGAGCAACAAAAACAAAAAGGAAUCAAAUUGGUAAAAUUAUGGUGAUCGUUUUCAGUUCCUUCAUCUCACAUUUCAAUUGGCGAUGGUCCACAAACUCCUGAAAACGACAUCAUUCUUUCAUUCUCUCCUUCUUUGGCCAGCUACUAAUGGAACCUUACAGUUACGGAAAAGAAACUGGAAAUGCUGCACAUCCUAUUAGUGCAACUCUGUCUUCCUGGGACUAAUGUCUCUGAGCCAUUUAUGUACCAUACUAUCUCAGAGAAGGAAAGAAUUUUUGUUUGAGUCAAAUUAAAGAGCUGUGUGCCAAUCCUAUUGCAUUUGAGGCGAUUGAGAUAAUUCAACAUAUGCUCGUGUUACUCUUAGUUGGUCUGAAGGCUGAAGGCGCCUCUCUAAGCAUUUAGAUUCAUUCUUGCAAAUGUGAUAUUGUGCAACUAAGGUGCUUUCCGUGAUAGUUCCUCGUGCAAAAAUAGACUAGAAUUUCUUAGUCAAUCUGAAGGCCAAGGCCCAACUACAUGGAGAUCACUUCUUCAGGUGGACGAGCAAGAUCUGGGGGCGGCGGCCUGGUGGGGGCAAGUCGUGUGGCGGCAGGGGGAGACUUAGUUCUUAACUUAUAAGAAGCCGGGGGGAAAAGGGAAUAGAUCAAGUUUCUGCGGAUGUUCAGGACCUCUCUCGUAGUCACAUUCAACCUUUGGGUUCACUUUUGAAUAUCUUUUUGGAAGCUUGUCCCUCUAUUUUAAAGGACUAUGCCAUGGAGCCUGAUGAGAAACUUAUACUAAAUGCAGCACAUUUGAUGGUAGCAAGCUUGGCAGGAAGUCUUGCUAAUGUAACAUUUAAGGAAUCACAAACAGAGUUGACACCGAUGAAUGGAAUCCAUCCACUGAUACGCAUUUCCACAAUUGAUAACCGCUCUGGAAAUGUUGUGAUACACCCAAAAUUUUAAAUAUUAUUUCAGCAGUUGUGUUUGUCUACGACAGUUUGAUCAACUAUCACGGGACCAAAUUUUCUAUAGAUUGCAAACUUGAGUUUGCUCGUACUGCUUGCUCAUCUAAAAUCUGCUGCUGUACUACGCUAUAAGCAGAACUCGGUCCUUUUUUUUUGAGAUCGCUACUUCAGUGUUGAUCAAGUUUCAGAGAUGUCCACUGUUGUUCAACAGGGAGAUGUUAUAGCUCGUAGGAUUUUUCAGCUAGUACACUUUGAGCGCACACAUAUUUAGGGACUAACCCCGGAGUUGUCUAGGUUCUCACUUCCGGAAUAGGGGUGUGAUCUUGGCGCCACCCCUUACUUGCUUUCUAAUCAAACAAAAAGCACAAACACAGUGUAGUGCCACUUUUUAUUAUGCUAGCCUUUAUGUGCAAGGUCAAACGGGAGCCCUUUGUCCUAAGCCAGGGCACCUGUGACAUUCACAACAACGAGUUUAUGAGGCGAUUCUUUGACAAAUUCUAGGACAUCUAAGUUGAUUCACAUGAAACGAUCCACCCAGACCUUAAAUGCAUUUCCAGUUUGCCCCCCGGCUUCAUCAGUAGGUGGGUUUUCCAUGCAAUUUGCAUCUCUACUUAUGACCAACUGAGUGCUAGCAGUUACUCCUCUGGCCUUGUUAGCACUGGAAUUGGUGCUAUGCCCCAUACAUUGGAAAUUGGCUCUGACGAGAUAGAACUUGUUGGAUCCCAGAAUCCUACAAGUUCGCUCAUCUCAUAUUUCAAUUGGCGAUGAUGGUCCACAAACUCCUGUAAACGACAUCAUUCCUUCAUUCCCUCCUGCUUUGGCUAGCUAUUGAUGGAACCUUCCAGUUGUGCAAAAGAACCUGGAAAUGCUGCACAUCCUACUAAUGCAAUUCUGUCUUCCGGGCUUCCUGGGAUAAACCUUGAUAUUAGAAUAAGUUGUUUUGAUGAUACAAUCUCAUUUUUAUAUGUUUAAACAUAUGUGUGCUUGCUUUAGAUUAUGAAGCACAAGUCCGAAUAGCAGCUGUCGAAAAGGUUACAAAUUGAUUCUUUUUCUAGCCCUUCACAUUGAGGUGUGGGUGUAUGCCUACAUUCUUCUUUUCUUUGUUUAUAAUUUAUCCUAUUUGUGUUUGCAUGCAAUGUUUUCUCUCUAUUGAUUGUCACCAGACACUUUUAAUGGGUUAUUAGUGUACUUUUAGUUUCUCUCAAGGGUUGGAGAACUAAGAUUCCCUAAUUUCAAACACCUAACUUUUUAAUAUUUUAAUAAUAUGUGAAAAUGAACAGGACAUGCUGUUGAACAAGACCAUGUACAUAUCUUAUAUUUUCUAUGGUGUCUUGAUAUAUUCUUUGUGGUGAACAUGGAGUCUGUUGAUGUUUUCACCGAUGAAUGGGAUUUACUUAUUAAAGCAAUAAUACUAGCAAAUAACUUAUUAAAAAUUUGGUAAAGACUUGUGUUAAUUUUGUCUAUUGUGUGUGUUUAUUUUGUUGAUGUUAGUUUUUUUAUUUUGUCCUUGUUGCAUUUUUUAACCUUGUUCACAUGCAGUCCAAACCAAUGAUUGGGAAAUAGAUCAACAACUUUCUAUUAGGGGAAAACAUAGAGAUAGUGUUGUGCCACUUUUUUUAAUGCUAGCCUUUAUGUGCCAGGACAAAUGUGACCUUUGUUGAGGUGAUACUUUACAAUUUUUAGAACAUCUAAGUUGAUUCACGUGGUCAGAUAUAUAUUAUCUAGUUCAUCUUUGUGAUCUUUAUUUGUGUCUCAUUUCAUUUGCAGGAAUCACAAACAGAGUUGACACCGAUGAAUGGAAUCCAUCCUCUGAAACUCCAAAUUUUAAAUAUUAUUCCAGCAUUUGUGUUUGUCUAUGACAGUUAGAUCAGCUAUCGAGGGACCAAAUUUGCUUUAGAUUGCAAACAUGAGUUUGCUCGUACUGCUCAUCGAAAUUCUGCUACUGUUCAUUCAUGGUUGAGUGUAAGGCUGCGUAGCAUGUAGAACUCAGUCCCAUGUAGAGAGCGCUACUUCAGUGUUGAUAAGCUCUAGAGAUGUCCCCUGAUCUUCAACAGUGAGGUGUUAUAGCUGUAACCACUACUCGUAGGAUUUUUAUGCUAGUACACUUUGAGCACAAACUUUUGCAGGAACUAACCCGGAGUUGUCCUGGUUCUCACUUCCAGUAUAGGGGUGUGAUCUUGGCACCACCCCUUGCUUUCUACUCAAACAAGUAAGUAUUCUAUCCUCUUUACAUUUUCUUGUCCUUCACAUUGAGGGUAAUGUUUGGAAUAGUUUUGAGGUGUGGGUGUUUGCGUGCUUUUUUUUUUGUGGUUGUAAUUUAUCCUAUUUGUGUGUAUAUGUAAGGUUUUCUCUCUAUUAAUUGUCACCAGAAACAAUUUUUAGUGGUUUAUUAGUGUAGACUUAGUUUCUCUCAAGGGUUGGAGAACUAAGAUUCCCUAAUUUUAAACAACUUAUUAAUAUUUUAAUAUGUGAAAAUGAAUUUGUGCUGCUGAACAAGACAUGCUGCUGAACAAUACCAAGUAUAUAUAUUUACUAUGGUUGCUGGAAAUUUCCUCUGUGGGGAACGUGGAGUUUGUUGAUGUUUUUUUCCGUUGAAUGGGAUUUACUUUUUAAAGCAAUAAUACUAACAAAUAACUGAUAUAAAAACUUUGGUAAAGGCUUGUUAAUUUAGUCCAUUGAGUAUGGGUUUGGAAUUCAUAUUGUUUGUAUUUUGUCCUUGUUACCUUUUUUACCUUGUUUACAUGCAUUCCAAACCAGUGAUUGGGAAAUAGAUCAACAACUUUCUACUAGGAGGAAGCAUAGAAACAGUGUUGUGCCACUUUUUUUUUAUGCUAGCAUUUAUGUGCAAGGUCAAGUGAGCCUUUUGUGCUAAGCUAGGCCACCUGUCAUAUUAACAAAACAAGUUUACGAGGUGAUUCUCUGACAAAUUCUAGGACAUCUAAGUUGAUUCAGGCAAGAAUCGAUCCAUCCAGAGCUCAAAUGCAUUUCCAGUUUGCCCCUCCGCUUCAUCAGUUGGUGGAUUUUCCUGGAAAUUUGCAUCUCUACUUCUGACGGAAUAGCACUGGAAUUGGUGCUAUUCCCCACACACCCGAAAUUGGCUCUGGCGAGAUGGAUCCUGUUGGAUCCCAGAUUCCUACAGGGUUUGUGUAGUUUAUGGUUUCUUUUGAUUUUUAUACCAUUUAUUAAUUAUUAGUUGUUUUUCUAUGACUAAACCCCGCGAGCAACAAAAACAAAAUUGAAUCAAAUUAGUAAAAUUAUGGUGAUCGUUUUUAGUUCCUUCAUCUCACAUUGCAAUUAGCGAUGGUCCACAAACUCUUGAAAAUGACAUAAUUCCUUCAUACCUUCUUGCUUUGCCCAGCUACUGAAGGAACCUUCCAGUUACGCAAAAGAACCUGGAAAUGCUACACAUCCACUAAUGCAGCUCUGUCUUCUGAGUAUCCCGGGACAAAUGUCUCUGAGCCAUUUAUAACCUUUGGUGAUGCAUUGCAUAUGUACCAUACUAUCUCAGAGAAGGAUAAUAUUUCCGAUGAUGACUAUAUAAUUUCGUAAGCUGGGCUCGUACUAGAAGUGGGAUUGAUGUCAAUCCUACAUGGAGUUGAGGAGGAGCUAACUUCUAAAGGAGGCAAGAUGAGAGAAGAAAUACCUAACCCCCCAUUCACCUAACUUCCCAUGCAAAUAAGGGAGUAUUUUGUUUCCCAUCAGGCCAUCACAUAUUUUUUCCUUCACAUAAAGGGCAAUGUUAAGAUUAAGAUUUGGGGUGAGGGUGUUUGUGUACGUACAUGCUUGAUUAUGUGGUUGUAAAUAAUAUGAUUAAUCUAUCUCCGAUGUGUUGAUUCUGAAGGACCCUUUUUUCAGAAGUGUAUAUAUAACAAUGCGAAUACUGAAGAAGUUGUGUUUUUAAAUGUCAGGUCUAUGCCACGGAGCCUGAUGAGAAACUUAUACGAAAUGCAGCACAUUUGAUGGUAGCAAGGUUGGCAGGAAGUCUUGCUAAUGUAACUUGUUAGGCCCGUACAUCACAUUUAGGAACCUUUACGUGGUUCAGUAUCUAGCCAACUCAGAAGGUCACUUCAGGGCUUGGCCAUAGCAAAUGAUCUUCUAGAGCAGUCGUUUUAGCUGGUGACUAAUGGUUGAGUGCAAGGCUGCGCUGCAAGCAGAACUCCGUCCUUUGUUGAGAGAGCUAUUUCAGUAUUGAUCAUGUUCCAGAGAUGUCCCCUUUUCUUCAACAAUGAGUUGUUAUAGCUCAGAAUCGAUCCACCCAGAGCUCAAAUGCAUUUCCAGUUCGCCCCUCGGCUUCAUCAGGAGCUGGAUUAUCCAGGCAAUUUGCAUCUCUACUUCUGACCAAAUGAGUGCUAGCAUUUACUCAUCUGGCCUUGUUAGCACUUGAAUUGCUGCUAUGCCCCAUACACCAAAAAUUGGCUCUGACGAGAUAGAACCUGUUGGAUCCCAGAAUCCUACAAGUUCGCUCAUCUCAUAUUUCAAUUGCUGAUGGUCCACAAACUCUGGUAAACGACAUCAUUCCUUCAUUCCCUCCUGCUUUGGCUAGCUACUGAUGGAACCUUCCAGUUGUGCAAAAGAACCUGGAAAUGCUGCACAUCCUACUAAUGCAAUUCUGUCCUCCGAGCAUCCUGAGACAAACCUUGAUAUUAGAAUGAGUUAUUUUGAUGAUACAAUCUCGUUUUUAUAUGUUUAAACAUAUGUGUGCCUGCUUUAGAUUAUGAAGCACAAGUCCGAAUAGCAGCUGCCGAGCAAGUUACAAAUUCAGUCGGAUUCUUAAUCUAGAAUUUGCUGUCCAACAUAUUAGGAGUUAAGGAGUAUUUUGUUUCCCCUCACAUAUUUUUUCCUUCACAUAAAGGGCAAUGUUAAGAUUAAGAUUUGGGGUCUAUGCCACGGAGCCUGAUGAGAAACUUAUAUGAAAUGCAGCACAUUUGUAGUAGCAAGGUUGACAGGAAAUUAUGCUAAUGUAACUUGUAGGAAUCACAAACGGAGUUGACACUGAUGAAUGGAAUCCAUCCAUCGAUGCACAUCUUCCUCGAUUGAUAACCGCUCUGGAAAUGUUGUGAUACACUCAAAAUUUUAAAUAUUAUUCCCGCAUUCGUGUUUGUCUACGACAUUUAGAUUAUCUAUCCAGGGACCAUAUUUGCUUUGGGUUGCAAA